rnacentral:rRNA from 1 species
GUGUCAGCCGCCGCGGUAAUACGAAGGGGGCUAGCGUUGUUCGGAAUUACUGGGCGUAAAGGGCGCGUAGGCGGUCUUGUAAGUCAGAUGUGAAAGCCCCGGGCUCAACCCGGGAAUAGCAUUUGAUACUGCGAGGCUUGAGUCCGGGAGAGGAUGGCGGAAUUCCCAGUGUAGAGGUGAAAUUCGUAGAUAUUGGGAAGAACACCGGUGGCGAAGGCGGCCAUCUGGACCGGUACUGACGCUGAGGCGCGAAAGCGUGGGGAGCAAACAGGAUUAGAAACCCGCGUAGUCC